ensembl:lncRNA
UGCUGCGUGCGGGGGCCUUUGUAUGGGGUCCUUUGUGAGCUGGGUUAUGAACCAGGUGAAGGUCGUGCAGGCGUCAGAGAAUCGAGGCCAGACAUGACGGGUGGAGGCUUGGUGGAGGUGAGGAGCCAGACAGCCUCGCUAAAUGUGCGGUGGCUCACUGCAGACAGCGUCCAUCAGUCGCUAGACAGGCUUGAUCUUCAGCCCCUACGACAGCUGCCUUUAUCCUGUCUGCCUCCACCUUCUGAGGCCUAUAGGCAUCUCAAAUGUGUGUUUCUUAAACAGAUUUGGAUGAGUUGCUUUCUGCACAACACACCUGGACAGACGGAGGCUGGUUCUCCACAAUGGCACCAGGGACUUGGCGGAGACUGGCGGGACAGAGGCACAGCACCAGCUCCCUGGGAGAAGGCAGUGCCUGUGGGAUGGAGGAAAGAAGAGGCACACAGUGCUGAGAUCUAUACAACCUGGCGUUUGGCCGUGGCUUCCAGGACAGGCUGGAUGCAGAGUGAAGUCCUCUCCUCACUGUCAAUGUUUGCAGAUGUCUUCUUGUAUAAACUUCGUAUUUCUUGAGACUUUCAAUUAGGUUUUUACUUAACUGGACUUUUAAAAUUGCCAUGCACAUAACUCUACCAGUUACAAUCUUGAGCUAACAUGGGUUUUGGUUUUGGUUUUGGUUUUACUUUGAUGAAUGUUUAACAUUUGCAUGCUGGAUGUGGGGGUGGAGGUCAUUUAUCUGCUUUUCAUUGCCUUCUUGGUUAUACUUAGUGACUUUCAGGUAAGGUGUGGAAGGCGUGGUACAGGGUGAAUUGCAGGCCGCACUGUGGCGCCGUGGAGGACAGGUGCGGGCUGCAGUGGUGUGCACAGUGGAUGAGAGACAAGAGGAGACUUCCAUCCUUGAGGGAAACACACAACAAUUUAAAAAACUGAUCGUCUAGCUUACAUGAGGUCCAACAAAUUCAGUUUGCAAAGUUUAACUUCCAAGUUAAUUUAGUAAUUUUUCCCCUAAGUCAUUAAUUUAGUAGCUUAUGUUUAAAUAUAUUUCUUUUGUCUAAAGGAGGCCAUAAAUUCUAAAAUGAAUGACUAAACAUGUAAUAAUUUAGGCAUACAGCACCUGAAGGGAAAACUGCCAGUAUGCUAAAAUAUUGGAUACAGAUGCUUUUAAAAAAUAUAAUGUAGCAUUCUUACAAUGCAUGUGCUCUUAGCGUGUAACUUGGUGGGUAGUUUUGAACUAUAUUUGUGGGAAUGUGUAUCUUGAAUACUUGAGGCUACCACUGCAGAUGUGUGUGUGAGAUGUAUAAAUACUGAAUGUUAUUCUCCCUUCCCUUAAAUGGAAAACAUUAGCUCCCUUUUAUUUCCAUUUUAUUUUUAUUUUUGAAGUGGACUCUUGCUCGUUGCCCAGGCUGGAGUGCAAUGGCACAAUCUCGGCCCACUGCAAUUUCUGCUUCCCGGGUUGAAGUGAUUCUCCUCUCUCAGCCUCCUGAGUAGCUGGGACUACAGGCACCCGCCACCACGCCCAGCUAAUUUUUGUAUUUUUAUUAGAGAUGGAGUUUUGCCAUAUUGGCCAGGCUGGUCUUAAACUCCUGACUUCAGGUGAUCUGCCCACCCCGACCUCCCAAAGUGCUGGGAUUACAGGCGUGAGCCACCGUGCCCAGCCAGCUCCCUUGUGUAAUGAUUUUUAUACAGUUGUUUUGCUUUUGUUUUUGAGACGGGUCUCACUGUGUCACCCAAGCUGGAGUGCAGUGAUGCAAAUCUAGGCUGACUGCAGCCUUCACCUCCUGGGCUCAGGUGAUCCUCCCACCUCAGCUUCCUGAGUAGCUGGGAAUAGACACACCACGCCCAGCUAAUUUUUUUUUUUUUUUUUGUAUUUUUAGUAGAGACAGGGUUUUGCCAUGUUUUCCAGGCUGGUCUCGAGCUCCUGGGCUCAAGCGAUCUGCCUCAGCCUCCCAAACUGCUGGGAUUACAGGCGUGAGCACCACAUCUGGCCCAUUUUUUUUUUUCUUCCAGGAUUAGAAGUCGACUUUCAGAAAACCCUUCAACCUUGCAAACUUAAUUUUCCAUAACAAUAUGCCUCUAGGAUAAAAACAAGACAGGAAGAAAGUAUGUGUGGACUGCAGUUAAAAAUUUUCUACACAGCAUAGCUUAGGAGAGUUGACAUUUACAAAGAGCAGGAGGCCCCUUCAGUGCCUUCUAGGCAUUGGGAAUGGCGGUCUGUGGGCGACCCUAACGUGUGCGGCGUCCUGAGACUUGAUCGUGGUGCUCACGCUUUUCCCGAGGGCCCACCGGGAGUACCAGAGACUCUUCUUCUGCAGUCGGCCAGCCAGGCAGCAGCUGCUGGAGAAGGAACAAACAGUAAAAGACAGAUGUACACGGUGUUGUUGUGGCAGAGAGGUUAAAACCAGGCUCACUCUGUUCUUACAGUUUUAAAAAACUAAUAAUGAAGUCCUUGAAUAUGUAUUGCAUUUCAGGAUUUUAAAGCAGUUAUGGGUGUGUCUGUGUGUCUCUCUAGCUCCCGUUCGGGUGCUACCUGUGAAGAGAGCUCAGAGACGCCACCUUUCCUUGCUGAGGUGACAGGGUCUGGAGAGGUGUGAACCCUGUGGUGAGGGGGGUGACUGACCUGGGGGGAGGCUGGGUCAGCGGUGGGGAUCCACCCCCACUCCACGUUUCUGUAGGGAAUCCACAGUUCUAAGUCUUUAUGAUCUGGGUAACAUGAACCUGGAAGAGGUGUUAUUUUUUAAGAAGUAAGUGCCAUGCUCUUUUUUCCUCAUACUUCCCCAUGUUUAAGCAGCAUUGAAGGAUAAGGCACUAGUAGCAUGUUGGUUUGGAAACAAUCUUGUUGGUUAUUUUACCUUGAAUCUGAUACUAAGGUUGCCUGGUAACAGAAGUUUUCCUUUAACAACAUGGAACUCUGUUGAAUCUGUUGCCCCAUUGGCUGAGCAGUCUGAAGUCAGUGCCCUGGCAGCUAAAGAGGCCUUAGAGGAAGGCCUUGGAGGAAGCCGCUGGAUGGGCAGGAGGCACCCCCCUUGAUUGAGGGAGAGAGGUGCAGUUUGCAGGGACCCCACGUGGCACUUGUGGCUCUCUCCUGCCCCCUGCUGGCUGCCAAGCAGCCUCGCCACAGUGUGCUCAGCGUGAAUGUUCACGGGGCAGGCCAAGGCUUUUGUUCCAGAAACACUGACUUCAGAAACCGCAGGCUGUGUGUGUUGAGCAUGGCAAGAAAGACUUACGUGUGUCUUAAACCUCUUGAACAAAGCAAGUUGAUGUUUCAAAUGCAUCUCCAAGGCUAAUGACUUUGCUAUGGUCAAUAUUCUAGGAGAAAAUAGGGUUUGAUGAAAUAGAAGCACAGGAGUGGCAAGUGAGGUGCUUGUGCCCCGUAUGACUAAGCAAUGUCCUGGCCGUUCCACACCAUGGCCUCUGAGCAGCCAGCGUGCAGAUACUGGGUCAAUUUAGAUGGGACUCCUGGAGCUGUCGGCCGUCCGGGAGAAGUACGAGGAGUUGUGCCUAUGAUCAUGGUUCCCGCUACUGUGUCCAGCAAUGUGCCGUUCGAUUUCAGCAUCAGGGCAGACACAGCCCUGAACACUAUCACUGAGGUAAGUCCCAGUGCCCGCCAGGUGGGCCGCUGGCGCUAACCCGAUGGCCCCGGCCAUUAUUAUCUACCAG